GGAGAGAUGGCCGAGCUGGUCGAAGGCGCUCGACUCGAAAUCGAGUAGGCUGUGAUGAGCGGUCUCAAGGGUUCGAAUCCCUUUCUCUCCGCCA
rnacentral:tRNA from 2 species